AGGGAGACAAACAACGAUUUUGAUGUCUGAGUUUAUUUAUUCUUAGGCCAAAAUCCUGUCACCUUAGGUCGAUCGGUACCUCAACUUUGAAGCCAAGAGAAUCCAGCGAUGGAUAUCUGCUUAGUGGAGAUUUUUAGUUCCUAAACUUUGUCUAGUUCACAACCCAUUAGGGAUGAGACUCCUGGGCCAUUAGCUCAGGUGGUUAGAGCGCACCCCUGAUAAGGGUGAGGUCCCUGGUUCAAGUCCAGGAUGGCCCAUUCGGUGUAGGGGGUUUAGCUCAGUUGGUAGAGCGCCUGCUUUGCAAGCAGGAUGUCAGGAGUUCGAGUCUCCUAACCUCCACUGACUACCAAAAUCCCCAUCUCCAAAACCUGGAGUAUGAACUCGUAUGGAUUGUGAUUUAGAUGUGUCCGCUAGAUGACCCUAGCUUCUUGUCAUUUUAAGGCAUGGAAAAAAUUCCAUGAAAUUUAAUUGAUAGGAUGCUGGGCUCGAUUCAAUGUAUUGAGAGAUCAAUGCAUUGUUUUGAUGUCUGGUCGAACCUUGACAACUGCAUAGUAAGCCUGGAAAGAAUAAAGCAUCUUUAUGGAUGCAUCAUUCUUGAGUGUUAAUUCACGAUGGGGUGGUGUUAAUUCUAAAGCAAGAGCCGAGACUCCAGCAUGUUCUUUCAAAUGUGUCGAGCAUUUGAGAGUUUGAUUUUAAUUUCUAUUUGUAGAAAUUAGAAGAAUCUGUUUCAACGACAGCAAUCGUGUUGGAGAUACAUU
rnacentral:tRNA from 1 species